AUUGAACGCUGGCGGCAGGCCUAACACAUGCAAGUCGAGCGGAGCGGCGGACGGGUGGGUAAUGACUAGGAAUCUGCCUGGUCGUGGGGGAUAACGUCAGGAAACGGGCGCUAAUCCCGCAUACUAUCAGAUGAGCCUAGGUCGGAUUAGCUAGUGGGUGGGGUAAAGGCCUACAAAGGCGACGAUCCGUAACUGGUCUGAGAGGAUGAUCAGUCACACUGGAACGGAGACACGGUCCAGACUCCUACGGGAGGCAGCAGUGGGGAAUAUUGGACAAUGGGCGAAAGCCUGAUCCAGCCAUGCCGCGUGUGUGAAGAAGGUCUUCGGAUUGUAAAUCACUUUAAGUUGGGAGGCGUUACCAACAGAAUAAGCACCGGCUAACUUCGUGCCAGCCGCCGCGGUAAUUC
rnacentral:rRNA from 1 species